rnacentral:rRNA from 1 species
AAUGGACGCAAGUCUGACCCAGCCAUGCCGCGUGCAGGAAUGACGGCCCUAUGGGUUGUAAACUGCUUUUCUGCAAGAAGAAACCCCCGUACGUGUACGGGGCUGACGGUAUUGCAGGAAUAAGCAUCGGCUAACUCCGUGCCAGCAGCCGCGGUAAUACGGAGGAUGCAAGCGUUAUCCGGAUUCAUUGGGUUUAAAGGGUGCGCAGGCGGAUUAGUAAGUCAGUGGUGAAAGCCUACAGCUUAACUGUAGAACUGCCGUUGAUACUGCUAAUCUUGAGUGUAGUUGAGGUAGGCGGAAUGUGUCAUGUAGCGGUGAAAUGCUUAGAUAUGACACAGAACACCGAUCGUGAAGACAGCUUACCAAGCUACAACUGACGCUCAUGCACGAAAGCGUGGGGAUCAAA